rnacentral:rRNA from 1 species
AUUGAACGCUGGCGGAAUGCUUUACACAUGCAAGUCGAACGGCAGCACGGACUUCGGUCUGGUGGCGAGUGGCGAACGGGUGAGUAAUGUAUCGGAACGUGCCCAGUCGUGGGGGAUAACGUAGUGAAAACUACGCUAAUACCGCAUACGAUCUAUGGAUGAAAGCGGGGGAUCGCAAGACCUCGCGCGUUUGGCGCGGCCGAUAUCAGAUUAGGUAGUUGGUGGGGUAAAGGCCCACACAGCCAACGAUCUGUAGCUGGUCUGAGAGGACGACCAGCCACACUGGAACUGAGACACGGUCCAGACUCCUACGGGAGGCAGCAGUGGGGAAUUUUGGACAAUGGGCGAAAGCCUGAUCCAGCCAUUCCGCGUGCAGGAUGAAGGCCCUCGGGUUGUAAACUGCUUUUGUACAGAACGAAAAGGUUUCUACUAAUACUAGGAGCUCAUGACGGUACUGUAAGAAUGAGCACCGGCUAACUACGUGCCAGCCGCCGCGGUAA